rnacentral:lncRNA from 1 species
GUGCUCGUUUGGUUCAAGUAGAGGAAUGGAAAGGGAAUGGAAUCAAAUAAAGGAGUGGAAUGGUAACAAUAACCAUUACUUUUAUUGAGUGUUUGGUUUAACAAUGGAAAGGAAUCAUUAGUAAGGGAUUCCCUUUCUUUUGUUUCCCCUCUAUUUUAAGGGGUAACAAAUUGGGUGAUUGGAAUACCCUCAAGUAAGGGUAAUGAUUAUCCCAUUACUCAAACCAAACAACAAGUAAU